AUAUUAUUAAGCGGAGGAAAAGAAACUAACCAGGAUUCCCUUAGUAACGGCGAGUGAAGCGGGACAAGCUCAGACUGAAAAUCUUCGGAGUUGUAGUCUGGAGAAGUCAAAUCAACUUGUAGUUUCGGAUAAAGUCUCUUGGAACAGAGCGCCGUGGAGGGUGAUAGCCCCGUUCAUGUCUGAAAUGAAAAGUGUACGAUUGGCUUUCUAAGAGUCGAGUUGUUUGGGAUUGCAGCUCUAAGUGGGUGGUAAAUUCCAUCUAAAGCUAAAUAUUGGCGAGAGACCGAUAGCGCACAAGUA
rnacentral:rRNA from 1 species